rnacentral:misc_RNA from 1 species
GAUGAAGAACGAAGCGAAAUGCGAUAAGUAAUGUGAAUUGCAGAAUUCAGUGAAUCAUCGAAUCUUUGAACGCACAUUGCGCCCGCCAGUAUUCUGGCGGGCAUGCCUGUCUGAGCGUCAUUUCAACCCUCAUGCCCCUAGGGCGUGGUGUUGGGGAUCGGCCAAAGCCCGCGAGGGACGGCCGGCCCCUAAAUCUAGUGGCGGACCCGUCGUGGCCUCCUCUGCGAAGUAGUGAUAUUCCGCAUCGGAGAGCGAUGAGCCCCUGCCGUUAAACCCCCAACUUUCCAAGGUUGACCUCAGAUCAGGGAGGAAUACCCGCUGAACUUAAGCAUAUCAAUAAGCGGAGGA